rnacentral:rRNA from 1 species
UACGUAGGGUGCAAGCGUUGUCCGGAAUCAUUGGGCGUAAAGAGCGUGUAGGCGGCUCGAUAAGUCCGCUGUAAAAGUCCAGGGCUCAACCCCGGGCCUGCAGUCGAUACGGGCAGACUAGAGUGCGGUAGGGGAGACUGGAAUUCCUGGUGUAGCGGUGAAAUGCGCAGAUAUCAGGAGGAACACCGGUGGCGAAGGCGGUUCUCUGGGCCUGUACUGACGCUGAGGAGCGAAAGCGUGGGGAGCGAACAGG